UACGGGGGGGGCAAGCGUUGUUCGGAAUUACUGGGCGUAAAGGGCUCGUAGGCGGCCAACUAAGUCAGACGUGAAAUCCCUCGGCUUAACCGGGGAACUGCGUCUGAUACUGGAUGGCUUGAGUUCGGGAGAGGGAUGCGGAAUUCCAGGUGUAGCGGUGAAAUGCGUAGAUAUCUGGAGGAACACCGGUGGCGAAGGCGGCAUCCUGGACCGACACUGACACUGAGGAGCGAAAGCCAGGGGAGCAAACGGG
rnacentral:rRNA from 1 species